AGUGGAAUUGCUGGGUCAUAUGGUAACUCUAUGUUUCACUUUUUGAGGAACUGCCAGACUGUUUCCCAAAGAGGCUGCACUAUUUUACGUUCCCACCAGCAAU
rnacentral:pre_miRNA from 1 species